rnacentral:rRNA from 1 species
AAUCGAACUCGGAGAUAGCUGGUUCUCCCCGAAAUAGCUUUAGGGCUAGCCUCGAUUUAGAUUACCGGGGGUAGAGCACUGAAUGGGCUAGGGGGCCACAAAGCUUACCGAACCCUAUCAAACUUCGAAUACCGGAUAAUUGAUGAUCGGGAGUCAGACAGUGUGAGAUAAGUUUCAUUGUCGAAAGGGAAACAGCCCAGAUCUACGACUAAGGUCCCAAAGUUCAAGUUAAGUGGAAAAGGAUGUGCAAUUGCGCAGACAACCAGGAUGUUGGCUUAGAAGCAGCCAUUCAUUCAAAGAGUGCGUAAUAGCUCACUGGUCGAGUGAUUGUGCGCCGAAAAUGUAACGGGGCUAAACUUGACACCGAAGUCUAGGCAGAAGGAAACUUCUGGGUAGGGGAGCAACGUGUACGGGCAGAAGCAGAAGCGGAAGCGACUGUGGACUGUACAGGAGAGAGAAUGCCGGCAUGAGUAGCGAGAGCAAAGUGAGAAUCUUUGCCGUCGAAAGCCUAAGGUUUCCUGAGGAAGGCUCGUCCUCUCAGGGUAAGUCGGGACCUAAGCCGAGGACAAUAGUCGUAGGCGAUGGACAAUCGGUUAAUAUUCCGAUACCGCCGAGCAACCGGAUGCAGUGACACAGAAGGAUAGGCAGAGCGUGGCGAUGGUAGACCACGUCCAAGCAGUGAGGCUGUUGUGUAGUGAAGUACGCACAACGGAAGGCUGGGCUGUGAUGGGGAACGAUUACGAUCGGUAAGCUGCUGAAUUCACGCUGGCGAGAAAAGCUGCUACGAAGCGAAGGCGCCCGUACCGCAAACCGACACAGGUAGGCGAGGAGAGAAUCCUAAGACGAGCGGGAGAACCCUUGUUAAGGAACUCGGCAAAAUGACUCCGUAACUUAGGGAGAAGGAGUGCCCAGGAAUGGGCCGCAGAGAAUAGACCCAAGCGACUGUUUACCAAAAACACAGGUCUGUGCGAAGUAGAGAUACGACGUAUACGGGCUGACACCUGCCCAGUGCCGGAAGGUUAAGGGGAAAUGUUAGGGCAACCGAAGCAUGGAACUUAAGCCCCGGUGAACGGCGGCCGUAACUAUAACGGUCCUAAGGUAGCGAAAUUCCUUGUCGGGUAAGUUCCGACCCGCACGAAAGGUGUAACGAUUUGGGCACUGUCUCAACGAGGGGCCCGGUGAAAUUGAAAUACCUGUGAAGAUGCAGGUUACCCGCGACUGGACAGAAAGACCCCAUGGAGCUUUACUGCAGCUUGAGAUUGAAUCCCGGUGGCAGACGCACAGGAUAGGUGGGAGGCUUUGAGAUAGUGACUUUGGUUGCUAUGGAGCCGACGUUGGGAUACCACCCUUCUGUUGCUGGGAUUCUAACGCGAAGAUUAACAACCUUGCGGACCAUCUCAGGUAGGCGGUUUGACUGGGGCGGUCGCCUCCGAAAGAGUAACGGAGGCGCCCAAAGGUUCCCUCAGGCCGGACAGAAACCGGCCGAAGAGUGCAAAGGCAGAAGGGAGCUUGACUGCGAGACAGACAAGUCGAGCAGAGACGAAAGUCGGGCUUAGUGAUCCGGUGGUACUGCGUGGAAAGGCCAUCGCUCAACGGAUAAAAGCUACCCUGGGGAUAACAGGCUAAUCUCUCCCAAGAGUUCAUAUCGACGGGGAGGUUUGGCACCUCGAUGUCGGCUCAUCACAUCCUGGAGCUGGAGUAGGUUCCAAGGGUUGGGCUGUUCGCCCAUUAAAGUGGUACGCGAGCUGGGUUCAAAACGUCGUGAGACAGUUUGGUUCAUAUCCAUCGCGGGCGCAAGAAGUUUGAGGGAGGCUGCUCCUAGUACGAGAGGACCGGAGUGGACGGAUCAACGGUGUACCAGUUGUCACGCCAGUGGCACGGCUGGAAAGCCGCAUCCGGAAAGGAUAAACGCUGAAAGCAUCUAAGCGUGAAGCCCGUCCCAAGAUGAGACUUCU